rnacentral:misc_RNA from 1 species
GUUCUCCAAUACCUUAGUAGUGUCUCUAAGUUCGCGUUCAAUCACUCUUUCCAUAGCUUUAUCAUGUGACUCACUAGUUUAAUGCCAUGAUAGUUUGUACAACUUUAGAUGUCUCUUUUGUUCUUAAAGAUGAGAACCAAAGUGUCCUUCAUUAAUUUGGUAUCUUUCUCGAUUUUAGUAUGCUAUUGAAUAGCUUAAUUAACCAAGCUACUCCAACCUUGUCAUGGCACUUCCAUACUUCUACAAGGAUACCAACUGGACCGCUCCUUAUCUUCAUCUCUUCAUGACCUCUUUAACUUCAACAAACCUUAUUCUACGAGCGUAGUCAAAGUUCUUUGUAAAUGAACAUAAGGUCUGUAAAGUCAACCUCAUAACUAUUGAGCCAAUCGCCUAAAAAAUGAAGUUCAUAAAAAAGGGUAUUCAUAUAUAAGCCCAAAUCCUAAUAGUUUGUAAUUCCAUUUUAAAAUUUAAGGUAAGUUAUUAUUUAGUUCCUAAGAAUUGCCAAUAUUAACUAGUCAAUCCCUCCAUUUUUAAAACCACAUUAAUACAUUUUAAUUGUCAACAAAUUAAUCCAUUUGUCCAACAAAUUGUACCCCUUUCUAUUAGUCAAACUGUCAAUGGGAAAUUCCAUAAAUGCCCUCUAUUAAAAAAUUUAAUUACAAAAUUAAUAUGAACCCCACUGCCCAUUGCCCCCACAAUUCACCUACCACCCUCCCCCUCCCCCUGUUGCUUUUCCACUUUUGUCAAGACCCAUCCUAACCCCCUUGCUUGCUUGCUACCCUCCAAUGGAAAAUAAAGCUUAAAUUGGUUGUAUAAUCACCGUUGUUAAAAGGUAUUGUUGGCAAGACAACCUCCACCACUAAUAUCGGCCUCUCAUUGGCUUGCCUCGGCCUCAAAAAUUGUGUGAAUUACACCCUCUUUAAGUUUAUGAACGGUGAUUGCUACUUGGACCAAGCCCCAGUGCGUGACAAGCGGUGGUCCGAUUUUGAGCUUGUAUGCAAUCUCAAAACCUAGCUCGAAGCUCCCAUUGGGAUUUUGUUACAAGGCAUUGGUUUGGCUAUUUUGCAUUUGAUUUUAUCUAUUGUGUAGAAUUUUUUUUAUUGAUCUUAGCGAUUAAGAUUAGAUUAGUAUUGAUUGAAAUAAGAUUUUGGAAUUAGAUUUUGGUUUUGUAGAUUAUGGAUUUGUUAAGGAUUUUUUUAUGUGGAUUUUCUGAUUUUGGAUGAGAUUUUCAAAUUAUUGUUUUUUGGCUUUUGCUUUCAAUUUUAUUAAGGGGGGACAGAGAGAGAGA